rnacentral:lncRNA from 1 species
UCCUGCUCUCCUUUCCCAACCUCUGGGCUUUAUUAGUAGACUACCCCCGGCAAGCCCAUCACUUGGACAUUUUUUAGGGGCUCAUGCCCCAGUGUCCCCAAGAAUCCCAUGUGUAAAGUGCAAGCAGGCUGCCAUUGGCUAGAACACUGCAGAGCACAGCCACUGCCCAUGAGCCAUACUUUGGGGCCAUUGUGGUUCAGGAUGGCCAGGAAAAGGUACUCAGGCUUUCAGAUCCUCAUCUGGGGCUGGAAGAAACAGCUCUGGGUGGCUUCCUAGUACCCAGAUACCCAGCCCCCCACCCUGGGCUCUCCCCACAUUUUCCUGCACUCUUGCCUUGCCAGCUGGUCAGGCCUGUUCCCUGAGGCCCUGCAGAUUGGAGAAGCCAUGUUCAACUCACUGUAAACUCUCUCCCCACGCCCUUCUCUCCUGUGCUCCAGGGGUCCGGCCAGCAUCUCCUCUGCUCAUGUCCUCCCCCUAUCAGGCAUGAGACCUGGGUUGUGGGGAGCUGAGUGUGAGGCCCGCAUCUGAGGCGGACGUGUGCCCAGAGGCUGCAGUGAGAGCUGCUGGCCACCGGCAGACAGGUGGGCAGAUCCUGCCGGGAUCCCCUGCCCCAUUUGCCCCUCUGCCACCCUAGCUGCCCUACUGUGGAGUGAAGGCAUGGGAGCAGAGAACUUGUUGUGGCACCAGGAAAGUUAAGGUGUCCUGGAAAGUGGCCAUCCAAGUGGCUGAGUCUUUAGUCUGCUCAUCUAGCAUAAUGGCCCCCCUUCCAGCUUCCUCCACUGGCCACUUUGCCUCGCAGCCCAGGGGCAGAGCCGUCAGCAGGCCGGGUGGGCACCAUGUCAGUCCAACCCAGGAGCACCUCCCAGAGUGGACAUUGUGCUGGGGAGGGGAGCAUCCAGGUGAUUCAGUGGUUCUUUUAAAGUGAUGCAAAGGUCAGCAUGGGGCCAGGGCGGGGGGGGGGGGGCUGCUCUGAUACCCACAUGGUGUGCCCCAGGGAGGAGGGCGGGGCAUGUUCCCGAGAGCACUGGGGUUUCACACAAGCGCCUGAGGUGCUGGGGGCUUGCCCUGGCUUCCCUCCACCCCCACUCCAGGAGGAAAGCUCAGCCCUGUUCUGCCUGGGCUCCUGGGCAGUGGUCUGGCUCAAGCAGCCCUCCUCCAGGUGGGCUCCUGAACAGGUGGACCUGAGUGGAGGAUCUGUUUUGUACGUAAUGGAAUGUUUUCAUUUACGGCCCGUUGUCCCAAGUCACAUGGAAACACAGUCUCCUUGGUUUCUCUGCUGUACCUGGAAGGGGAUCCCUGCACGCAGGGGGAGGUGCCAGUGACAGCGCCUGCUGGCAGUGCCCCUCGACGGCCUGGGUCUCCCAUACAGCACUGCCCACCCAGGCUGCCUGCUUAGCGGUGGAGGCAUCUUGUGCCCGCAGCAUCUCCUCCAAUGCCACGGGGCUGGGGCUCCAGGGGAGGGGUGGCCCCCACCCCCGGGCUCUUCCCAGGAUGGAGAGACAGAAGAAGCAAACAUGCAGUGAGCCAGCAGCUCCCCGCCACACAGGCCUGCAACAUCCUCUCUUGGAGGAAGAGCCAGAGACGACAGAACUGUCCGAACAACGAGUCUGUGAACUUUUUUGGGAACUGGAAGUGUUUAACUUGAACCCAGGAGCGUUUAAAGCUUUAUUUAUUUAUAGCUUCUUAUUAAAAAAAAAAAAAAGUGUUGAGAAGAAACCUUUUGGUUACUCAUACAAAAAAAUGAGUCAAUGAUGGAAAAGCAAGUCAUAAUCAUCUAAUUGUUUUUGUCUAGGUCAAGAUAAAUGUUAGCAGAUGAAAUAAACCCUGAAAAGGAACGCUGGUGUGUGUGGUC